GCGCUCAUAGCUCAGUUGGAUAGAGCAUCAGUUUGCGGAAUUGAAGGUCGCAGGUUCGAGCCCUGCUGAGCGCACCC
rnacentral:tRNA from 4 species